rnacentral:rRNA from 1 species
GAUGAACGCUAGCGGCAGGCUUAAUACAUGCAAGUCGAGGGGCAGCAGCUUUAUAGCAAUAUAGAGGCUGGCGACCGGCAAACGGGUGCGGAACACGUACACAACCUUCCUUUAAGAGGGGGAUAGCCCAUAGAAAUGUGGAUUAAUACCCCGUAACAUAUCGGUGUGGCAUCACACUGCUAUUAUAGUUUCGACGCUUGAAGAUGGGUGUGCGGCUGAUUAGGUAGUUGGCGGGGUAAAGGCCCACCAAGCCUUCGAUCAGUAGCUGAUGUGAGAGCAUGAUCAGCCACACGGGCACUGAGACACGGGCCCGACUCCUACGGGAGGCAGCAGUAAGGAAUAUUGGUCAAUGGACGCAAGUCUGAACCAGCCGUGCCGCGUGAAGGAUGAAGGUCCUCUGGAUUGUAAACUUCUUUUAUAGGGGGCGAAAAAAGGGAAUUCUUUCUCACUUGACAGUACCCUAUGAAUAAGCACCGGCUAACUCCGUGCCAGCCGCCGCCGUAA